CCUACGUUGAAAUAUCGUUUCCCGUACGAUCACCGAAGUUAAGUCGACGUGGAGCCUAGUCACUAUCGAGAUGGGUGACGGCUUGGGAAAACCAAGUGCUGUAAG